UAACGUGCGAAAACACUGUGAUAGUGCCAGUACUUUCAUUAUGGACACCUUCAUGAACGUUGAUGUCUCGGGCAGCAGGAGCAGUCGUGCCUGAGAAGGUCAGGGGUCGAGCCUCAUCUGCUUCAAUAUCCUCAUAAGGUCCACGCUGAAAGGGAAAUUGUGCACCUUUAAGUGGACAUCAGGGAGAAGCAGUAGCUCAAGGCAAGAAGACAACACCAAAAAGUAAAGCCAAAUUUAAUUCAGGCAGCAUCCUUGCUGAAAGAUUAAUGUAUUAUGCAUUUACUGAUAGAGUACAUAGCCGCAGCUGUCUAACCAAUGCACUGUGCUAUUGAACCAGUGAUGUACCGAUGUACCAGGGUACAGCACGAGACAAGGAAAAUCGCAACAUAUGCACAGUCCGCAGCGGUGACAGCAUUAUUUGAAAUGCUGUCUGAAAAGCGCAGAGAAGUCAGAAUUCAGUCAGUAUGCUGAAAGACUGCCCUCUUGUGGCAAAAAGCCUCCAACGCCUUUUUCUUUAAACUUGGAUGAUGAGGAUGGAUCUCAUGUUCAGUUCAGU